UACGGGGGGGGCAAGCGUUGUUCGGAUUUACUGGGCGUAAAGGGCGCGUAGGCGGCAAAUUAAGUCAGCUGUGAAAUCUCCGGGCUUAACUCGGAACGGUCAGAUGAUACUGCUUUGCUAGAGUGCGGAAGGGGCAAUCGGAAUUCUCGGUGUAGCGGUGAAAUGCGUAGAUAUUCGCAAGAACACCAGUGGCGAAGGCGGCUUACUGGUCCGGUUCUGACGCUGAGGCACGAAGGUCAGGGGAGCAAACGGG
rnacentral:rRNA from 1 species